rnacentral:lncRNA from 10 species
ACGGAAAGCCAAACUUUCCCUUAGCAAGCGUGGCAACGUCCCAGAGUGCAGCCUGGGAUCCCGUCAAGGAUAUCACAUGAUACUUCCUUGUCAUGUUUCCUUAGGCUCAUCUUGACUGUCCAUUUCUCAGACCUUCCUUGAUUUUGGUGACCUUGACAAUGUUGAGGAACAGUGGUCAGGUAUCUUGUAGAAUGUUCUUUCAUCGGGGCUUGUUGAUGUUUUCUCUGAAUUAGACUGGGUUUGUGGGUUUUGGGGAAGAAACACCACA